UAACUGCCCAAGAACAUUGCCCUGACAAGAAGGUCGUGAUAGGUGGCAAUGUUGUACCCACACAAAUAUUGCACUUGUCCCGGCCUUUUUGCUUUGGCUUAAAGCAACAGUGAUAUAG
rnacentral:precursor_RNA from 16 species